UGUGGGGCAGAGCAUUGUGGCUAACCACAAGACAUUGGCAGAGGUCCCCUCCUUCAAGGUCUGAGCUUCCUACACGGGGUUUGAUAUAGACCUGGGCACAAAGGGCUGAGCUCACAGAAGCCAUCUGGUGACUCCUCAGUGUCUGUCCAUCUGACUACCCUCCUGCUAUGGUUGGUGCUGUCCAGGUCCAACCAGAUGGGUGUCACAAGCCUGAAGCUUAUACCAAGACAAAGAGGAGGAGAGACAGCAGGUAACAGGAAGACCAUGGUGAUGUGGAAAUUUCUGGUUUCUUUGAGUGCCUCCAACAUGGUAUCACAAUUCAACCUCAAAUCCACCUGCCUCUAGCACUGACUCCCCUCUCACACGAACAUCCUCAUUUUAUGUGUGCGAGCACCCACACCCACACAAACACACACACAACAGAGGAAACUAAUUCACUCCAUUUAAGAAGAGAAUUUUAUAAAGGACUUUCAGUUAAUCUCACAGUCAACCUCUGCAUAAAUAAGAAACCCAGACCUGUGCUGAAAAGGUAGCUCAGUGGUUAAGAGCAUCAGCUGCUCUUCCAGAGGUCCUGAGUUCAAUUCCCAGAAACCAUAUGGUGGCUCCCAGCCAUCUGUAAUGGGAUCUGAUUUCCCCUUUCUGAUGUGCAUGAAGACAGAACAUUUAUAACCAUAAAAUAUAUGAAGAAAGAAAGAAAGAGAGAAGAGAAGAGAAGAGAAGAGAAGAGAAGAGAAGAGAAGAGAAGAGAAGAGAAACAGAUCUGGAGGCUCUAUAACCAGAACUCAACCCUAAAGCACUGCAGCCCUCGUCUGGCCGUCUGCAGACUGCUGAAUAACAGAAGCACAAAGAGACCACCGAGACCCAAGAGCACAGAGACUGGAGGUUUCUGAGUAGCCAUGGUGGAGGGGGUAGAGGUGGGGCUGAUGGCUUCAUUUUCUCGGCUGCCAAAUUAAGGGCUCUCUCCGCUGAACUGACAACAACUUAAGCUUGCGUUGCUUUUCUGGUUCAUUGAGGAUCUCCA
rnacentral:lncRNA from 1 species